GGGGCUGUGGCUCAGUGGGAGAGCAUCUGGUCGGCAUGCAGAAGGCCACAGGUUCAAUCCCAGGCAUCUCCA
rnacentral:tRNA from 1 species